rnacentral:lncRNA from 1 species
CCUCACCUCCUGCCGGCCUCUCUGCUUGCCCUCCCCGCCCCAGGGGGGGUGUGGGGGUGGGAGGCCUUGAGAUUGUCCCCGGUACCCCAAGGACGCCGAGGUUACGGGAAGUUUGGGGACCUGGGCCCCAGUAUCCUGAGUUCUUCCAGGAGAAAGAAGAUGGCAUAGAAGAAGUGAGGGAGAGAGCAAACGUCUGACUCUGGGGUGCUUAUCUGUGUGGAAGAGACCGGUUCUUCCUGACUGGCUUCAUGUCCCUCAAGAUCCCAAGAAGGCUAUGGCCAUUUCAAAGCCAGAGAAUAGGGGCAGAGAAUAGGGGCAGAGACUCAGCAGCCUGCUCCUGGGUGCAAAGAGACAAGGCCAGGUGCAGCCUAUGCUCACAACCCUGGAAG